UAGGGAAUCUUCCGCAAUGGACGCAAGUCUGACGGAGCAACGCCGCGUGAGUGAAGAAGGAUUUCGGUUCGUAAAACUCUGUUGUUAGAGAAGAACAGCGCAUAGAGUAACUGUUAUGCGUGUGACGGUAUCUAACCAGAAAGCCACGGCUAACUACGUGCCAGCAGCCGCGGUAAUACGUAGGUGGCAAGCGUUGUCCGGAUUUAUUGGGCGUAAAGCGAGCGCAGGCGGUCAAUUAAGUCUGAUGUGAAAGCCCCCGGCUCAACCGGGGAGGGUCAUUGGAAACUGGUUGACUGGAGUGCAGAAGAGGAGAGUGGAAUUCCAUGUGUAGCGGUGAAAUGCGUAGAUAUAUGGAGGAACACCAGUGGCGAAGGCGACUCUCUGGUCUGUAACUGACGCUGAGGCUCGAAAGCGUGGGUAGCAAACAGG
rnacentral:rRNA from 1 species